UUAAGCGACUAAGCGUACACGGUGGAUGCCCUGGCAGUCAGAGGCGAUGAAGGACGUGCUAAUCUGCGAAAAGCGUCGGUAAGGUGAUAUGAACCGUUACAGCCGGCGAUGUCCGAAUGGGGAAACCCAGUGUGAUUCGUCACACUAUCGUUAACUGAAUACAUAGGUUAACGAGGCGAACCGGGGGAACUGAAACAUCUAAGUACCCCGAGGAAAAGAAAUCAACCGAGAUUCCCCCAGUAGCGGCGAGCGAACGGGGAGCAGCCCAGAGUCUGAAUCAGCUUGUGUGUUAGUGGAACGGUCUGGAAAGUCCGACGGUACAGGGUGAUAGUCCCGUACACCAAAAUGCACAGGCUGUGAACUCGAAGAGUAGGGCGGGACACGUGGUAUCCUGUCUGAAUAUGGGGGGACCAUCCUCCAAGGCUAAAUACUCCUGACUGACCGAUAGUGAACCAGUACCGUGAGGGAAAGGCGAAAAGAACCCCGGCGAGGGGAGUGAAAAAGAACCUGAAACCGUGUACGUACAAGCAGUGGGAGCACCUUCGGGUGUGACUGCGUACCUUUUGUAUAAUGGGUCAGCGACUUAUAUUCUGUAGCAAGGUUAACCGUAUAGGGGAGCCGCAGGGAAACCGAGUCUUAACUGGGCGUUAAGUUGCAGGGUAUAGACCCGAAACCCGGUGAUCUAGCCAUGGGCAGGUUGAAGGUUGGGUAACACUAACUGGAGGACCGAACCGACUAAUGUUGAAAAAUUAGCGGAUGACUUGUGGCUGGGGGUGAAAGGCCAAUCAAACCGGGAGAUAGCUGGUUCUCCCCGAAAGCUAUUUAGGUAGCGCCUCGUGAAUUCAUCUUCGGGGGUAGAGCACUGUUUCGGCUAGGGGGUCAUCCCGACUUACCAACCCGAUGCAAACUACGAAUACCGAAGAAUGUUAUCACGGGAGACACACGGCGGGUGCUAACGUCCGUCGUGAAGAGGGAAACAACCCAGACCGCCAGCUAAGGUCCCAAAGUCACAGUUAAGUGGGAAACGAUGUGGGAAGGCACAGACAGCCAGGAUGUUGGCUUAGAAGCAGCCAUCAUUUAAAGAAAGCGUAAUAGCUCACUGGUCGAGUCGGCCUGCGCGGAAGAUGUAACGGGGCUAAACUGUGCACCGAAGCUGCGGCAGCGACACUAUGUGUUGUUGGGUAGGGGAGCGUUCUGUAAGCCUGCGAAGGUGGCCUGUGAGGGUUGCUGGAGGUAUCAGAAGUGCGAAUGCUGACAUAAGUAACGAUAAUGCGGGUGAAAAGCCCGCACGCCGGAAGACCAAGGGUUCCUGUCCAACGUUAAUCGGGGCAGGGUGAGUCGACCCCUAAGGCGAGGCCGAAAGGCGUAGUCGAUGGGAAACAGGUUAAUAUUCCUGUACUUGGUGUUACUGCGAAGGGGGGACGGAGAAGGCUAUGUUAGCCGGGCGACGGUUGUCCCGGUUUAAGCAUGUAGGCGGAGGUUCCAGGUAAAUCCGGUACCUUUUUAACGCUGAGGUGUGAUGACGAGGCACUACGGUGCUGAAGUAACAAAUGCCCUGCUUCCAGGAAAAGCCUCUAAGCAUCAGGUAACAUUGAAUCGUACCCCAAACCGACACAGGUGGUCAGGUAGAGAAUACCAAGGCGCUUGAGAGAACUCGGGUGAAGGAACUAGGCAAAAUGGUGCCGUAACUUCGGGAGAAGGCACGCUGAUAUGUAGGUGAAGCCCCUGCGGGUGGAGCUGAAAUCAGUCGAAGAUACCAGCUGGCUGCAACUGUUUAUUAAAAACACAGCACUGUGCAAACACGAAAGUGGACGUAUACGGUGUGACGCCUGCCCGGUGCCGGAAGGUUAAUUGAUGGGGUUAUCCGUAAGGAGAAGCUCUUGAUCGAAGCCCCGGUAAACGGCGGCCGUAACUAUAACGGUCCUAAGGUAGCGAAAUUCCUUGUCGGGUAAGUUCCGACCUGCACGAAUGGCGUAAUGAUGGCCAGGCUGUCUCCACCCGAGACUCAGUGAAAUUGAACUCGCUGUGAAGAUGCAGUGUACCCGCGGCAAGACGGAAAGACCCCGUGAACCUUUACUAUAGCUUGACACUGAACAUUGAGCCUUGAUGUGUAGG
rnacentral:rRNA from 1 species